rnacentral:rRNA from 1 species
GAUCGGCUCAGGAUGAACGCUAGCUACAGGCUUAACACAUGCAAGUCGAGGGGCAGCAUGGCGAUAGCUUGCUAUUGUUGAUGGCGACCGGCGCACGGCUGAGUAACGCGUAUCCAACCUGCCCUUGUCCAUCGGAUAACCCGUCGAAAGGCGGCCUAACACGAUAUGCAGUUCUCAGCAGGCAUCUAACGAGAACGAAAUGUAAAGGAGAAGGAUGGGGAUGCG